rnacentral:tRNA from 1 species
UCCCGUUUAGCUCAGUUGGUAGAGCGCGUCACUAGUAAGCUUUUGCGAUGACGAGGUCAGUCGUUCGAGUCGGCUAAUGGGAA